rnacentral:rRNA from 1 species
UACAGAGGUCUCAAGCGUUGUUCGGAUUCAUUGGGCGUAAAGGGUGCGUCGGUGGCGCCGUAAGUCAGGUGUGAAAUCUCGGGGCUCAACCCCGAAACUGCACUUGAUACUGCGGUGCUCGAGUACUGGAGAGGAGAUUGGAAUUUACGGUGUAGCAGUGAAAUGCGUAGAUAUCGUAAGGAAGACCAGUGGCGAAGGCGAAUCUCUGGACAGUUACUGACACUGAGGCACGAAGGCCAGGGGAGCAAACGGG